rnacentral:rRNA from 1 species
UACGUAGGUGGCAAGCGUUGUCCGGAUUUACUGGGCGUAAAGCGCGUGUAGGCGGCUCGUUUUAGUCUGUCGUGAAAGCCCCCCGGCUCAACCGGGGGAGGGUCGUUGGUGACUGUCGCGCUUGAAGGCAGCAGGGGUGAGUGGAAUUCCCGGUGUAGUGGUGAAAUGCGUAGAUAUCUGGAGGAACACCGGUGGCGAAGGCGACGUCCUGGACCGGCAUUGACGCUGAGGCGCGAAAGCCAGGGGAGCAAAGCGGG